UAACAACGCUAAUAUAUCUCCCUAAUUUCCCCAUCACGCUCCCAAAAUCUUCUUCCCAUUCUGCUUAUGGUCGCACCUCUUAAUUAGGCCUUCCUCUCCAUAUCUUCUUCCUAACCAGAAACAUAGUACAAUCACAAUGAAAUUCAUCUAUGGACCAUAGAGAAGAAACCAAGAGACCUUAUUGAAAAAAUUAGUGGAUGAAUUCUAAAGUCUUUUCCCAAUUGACAAAGGCUAGAAGUUUUGGUUCGUAACAUCUGUGGAAAAUUUUCUUCUCAAAUUUUCAACUUUUGAAAAUUUAGACUCUAAAGAUUGCGUAAUGGGUGUUGGAGAAGUUGUAUUAUCCGUCCAUUGCUCUUUAACAUGUCUAUUUGAGAAUUCAUGCAUAUGAAGUGGCAUUGAUGCCCUGAUUGCAAAUUCUACAUUGAAUGUUUUAGCAAAUGUGAUGAUAUGUGGUGCAGUUCUCUUUCCUUUUUCUUAAUUUUUAAGUAGUGAAAACGAAAGCCCCGUUACAGGAAUUCAGCUUUUAUGGAAUUUCCUUAAAGUUUUCACUAUAAAGUGCAAACAAGAUUCAAGAAAACUGAAUUGCUUUCUUUAGGAGGGGCUCUAUAUGAAGUCUUUUAUGCUUCUAGACCAAAGUACAAAAUGAAGAGAUCCAAAUUAAUGCGUACCAAUUGACUUUCUUUAGGCGAGUCAUGACGGGAUCAAGAUUAUUAAUAUCCAGUAAGGCUGUGAAUUCGCAUGGAGCUUUUAUAUUUAUGUGUGUUUCAUCACUUGGAAUGUGAGGCAAUUUAGAGGAAAACACAUUUAAGAAAAAAAUUUCCCCAUCGGUUUCAGAUGAGUCCUUUUUUCUGGAUAAGAAAACUAUACUGCAGGGAUCAAAAAUCUUAUGAAGUCUGGCUAUCUUUUCAUCUUUACUGAAUGAGGUGGUAACUUCUCUCUUUUUGUAAGUCGUUCUCUUUUUGCUUAUCAGGAGGUGUCUUUAUUUUUUAUUUUUUUAUUUUUUUGGUUUUCCACCCGAUGUCCGGUACCAGCAUUGGAGCCCAACUAUAUCUAGAUUCGCGCCGCACAGGGCCCCAUUUGGGGGGAAGCGCUCCCUAUCAAGGAUUUUUCCAUACCCAGGACUCGAACCCGAGACCUCUGGUUAAGGGAGGAGCAGCCCCAUCCACUGCACCACAUCCUUUGGUGGUAGGAGUUGUCUUGAUUAUUGCUCUUCCAUGGUUGUAUUUAAUGAGUUCACAAGAUAUAGGACUAUGGGAACCCUUCUUGUGCACCAAGCAAAAGGGAAAAUCAGGGAUGUCGUGUUUGUUGAGCUACAAAGGGUUUGGAGUAGUGAGUGUCUCUUCAGGGCUUGGAAUAGUGAGAUCAAUCUAUCACUCUUGCUACUUAUUCCAUUCAAAACUGUGAGGAACAUACCAGUGGAAUUGAAGGCAACAAUUGAAGAAACAAUAUAUAGAAGUUUAUGACUGAUUAGCUAGAGUAUUAUUUAGAUAAGUGGUGAUUGAAUGAUUUUUGUUAGUGUUUUUUUAUCUGCUUGAAAAUUUUGUGUAGGCUUUAUAAGUUAAGAUACUACUCAAUUAAUUGAUAUCUUUCAUACCGCGCGAAGCGUGGUUGAAUUUA